UAGGGAAUCUUCCGCAAUGGACGCAAGUCUGACGGAGCAACGCCGCGUGAGUGAAGAAGGAUUUCGGUUCGUAAAACUCUGUUGUUAGAGAAGAACAGCGCAUAGAGUAACUGUUAUGCGUGUGACGGUAUCUAACCAGAAAGCCACGGCUAACUACGUGCCAGCAGCCGCGGUAAUACGUAGGUGGCAAGCGUUGUCCGGAUUUAUUGGGCGUAAAGCGAGCGCAGGCGGUCAAUUAAGUCUGAUGUGAAAGCCCCCGGCUCAACCGGGGAGGGUCAUUGGAAACUGGUUGAAUUGAGUGCAGAAGAGGAGAGUGGAAUUCCAUGUGUAGCGGUGAAAUGCGUAGAUAUAUGGAGGAACACCAGUGGCGAAGGCGACUCUCUGGUCUGUAACUGACGCUGAGGCUCGAAAGCGUGGGUAGCAAGCAGG
rnacentral:rRNA from 1 species